rnacentral:lncRNA from 1 species
AUAUAACACACCUUUCAAAGAAUUAACGAGUUAUUGCCAAUUUAUAAUGACGCCAUUUCUAAAAUGUGUGGUGGCCAUCUUGAAAUUUUUUUUCUUUUUUUCUGGCCAGCAGCGGAUUUUUUAUAAGUAUCAUUUAGUCAACCUUUAUACCAAAUUUCAUGCUUGUAUCACGAUUUGCACAAUUAUGUCCAUAAUAUCUCCCAC